UACGUAGGUGGCAAGCGUUGUCCGGAUUUACUGGGCGUAAAGAGCGCGCAGGCGGUCGUUUAAGUCGAAUGUGAAAGCCCCCGGCUCAACUGGGGAGGGUCAUUUGAUACUGAUCGACUUGAAGGCAGGAGAGGGAAGUGGAAUUCCGGGUGUAGUGGUGAAAUGCGUAGAUAUCCGGAGGAACACCAGUGGCGAAGGCGACUUCCUGGCCUGUUCUUGACGCUGAGGCGCGAAAGCUGGGGGAGCAAACGGG
rnacentral:rRNA from 1 species